UGAAUACGAGACGCUAAGGCGUCGAAGUAGUGUAUGUCAUGCUUCCAAGAAAAGCUUGCACUGUCAUAGAUAAAAAACGCCUGUACCAUAACCGACACAGGUGGGUAGGUAGAGUAUACUAAGGGGCGCGAGAUAACUCUCUCUAAGGAACUCGGCAAAAUAACUCCGUAACUUCGGGAGAAGGAGUGCCUUAUUCUUAAGGUUGCAAUAACAAGAUCCAAGCAACUGUUUAUCAAAAACACAGGUCUCCGCUAAGUCGUAAGACGAUGUAUGGGGGCUGACGCCUGCCCAGUGCCAGAAGGUUAAAGAAGUUGGUUAGCAUUUGCGAAGCUGAUAACUGAAGCCCUGGUGAACGGCGGCCGUAACGAUAACGGUCCUAAGGUAGCGAAAUUCCUUGUCGGGUAAGUUCCGACCCGCACGAAAGGCGUAAUGAUUUGGAUACUGUCUCGGAGAGGGGCUCGGUGAAAUAGACUUGUCUGUGAAGAUGCGGACUACCUGUACCAGGACAGAAAGACCCUAUGAAGCUUUACUGUAACUUGAAAUUGAAAUUGGACUUUAUUCGCGCAGCAUAGGUGGGAGGCGUUGAUUAUAAUCUCGUGGGAUUAUUGGAGCCAUCAGUGAGAUACCACUCUUGUAAUGUUAGAUUUCUAACUUUGAAUCAUUAUCUGGUCAAAGAACAGUUUCAGGCGGGCAGUUUGACUGGGGCGGUCGCCUCCUAAACGGUAACGGAGGCGUACAAAGGUUUCCUCUGAACGGUUAGAAAUCGUAUCUAGAGUGUAAAGGCAUAAGGAAGCUUGACUGUGAGACCUACAAGUCGAGCAGGGACGAAAGUCGGUCUUAGUGAUCUGACGGUACUGAGUGGAAAGGCCGUCACUCAACGGAUAAAAGUUACUCUAAGGAUAACAGGCUGAUCUCCCCCAAGAGUUCACAUCGACGGGGAGGUUUGGCACCUGGAUGUCGGCUCAUCGCAUCCUGGGGCGGUAGUACGUCCCAAGGGUUGGGCUGUUCGCCCAUGAAAGCGGUACGCGAGCUGGGUUCAGAACGUCGUGAGACAGUUCGGUCCAUAUCCGGUGUAGGCGUUAGAAUAUUGAGAGGAGCCUUCUUUAGUACGAGAGGACCGAGAAGGACAUACCUCUGGUGUACCAGUUAUCGUGCCAACGGUAAACGCUGGGUAGCUAUGUAUGGAGUGGAUAACCGCUGAAAGCAUCUAAGUGGGAAGCCCACCUCAAGAUAAGUA
rnacentral:rRNA from 1 species